UGCUACCAUUUAUUGAAUGCUUACUAUAUGCCAGUAUCGUACUAGAUACUUUCGUUAUUUUAUUUAGUCGUUUCAACACUCCUUUGAGAUAUCACACUGUAUCCUAGUGGUCUGAUUCACUUGUAUUAGUAUGCACUUUUGAAAAGAGAAAGGCAAGGAUAUCGCUAGGAACAAGCCCUAAGAACAAAGAAUUGAACAGUAGUUUAAACUGUCAAGGAGUAUAUCUUGCAGAGAGUGGUGGCACACAUGUGUAAUGCUAGCACUCUAGAAGGCUGAGGCAGGAGAAUUGCCAAGCCUGAGCAACUUUUCGAGAUCCUGUCUUAAACAAAGAAAGGUUGGGAUGUAGCACAGAGUGAAGGCCCUGGGUUCAAGUCAAGUACUGAAAAAAAAGUAUUUAUCAGA